rnacentral:rRNA from 1 species
CCUUGUACACACCGCCCGUCACACCAUGGGAGUUGGUUCUACCUUAAGCCGGUCAGCUAACCGUAAGGAGGCAGCCGACCACGGUAGUGUCAGCGACUGGGGUG